rnacentral:pre_miRNA from 1 species
UCCUAUGGAUGAGCAAAGAAAGUAGUUUCUUGAGAUGGAAUCUACUCCUGGAAAAGCUGCUGUGAA